UGGGGACUAGAAUUCAUUGUCACUGGUCACC
rnacentral:piRNA from 1 species